UACGUAGGGGGCAAGCGUUGUCCGGAUUUAUUGGGCGUAAAGAGCGUGUAGGCGGCUUUGCAAGUCCGUUGUGAAAACUCGAGGCUCAACCUCGAGACGCCGGUGGAAACUGCAAAGCUAGAGUCCGGAAGAGGAGACUGGAAUUCCUGGUGUAGCGGUGGAAUGCGCAGAUAUCAGGAGGAACACCGGUGGCGAAGGCGGGUCUCUGGGCAGUAACUGACGCUGAGGAGCGAAAGCGUGGGGAGCGAACAGG
rnacentral:rRNA from 1 species